rnacentral:rRNA from 1 species
UACGUAGGGGGCUAGCGUUGUCCGGAAUCAUUGGGCGUAAAGAGCGUGUAGGCGGUCCGGUAAGUCCGCUGUGAAAGUCGGGGGCUCAACCCUCGAAUGCCGGUGGAUACUGUCGGGCUAGAGUGCGGAAGAGGCGAGUGGAAUUCCUGGUGUAGCGGUGAAAUGCGCAGAUAUCAGGAGGAACACCUAUUGCGAAGGCGGCCCCCUGGUUGGAUACUGACGCUGAGACGCGAAAGCGUGGGGAGCAAACAGG